AUUGAACGCUGGCGGCAGGCCUAACACAUGCAAGUCGAGCGAGCGGCGGACGGGUGAGUCAUGCCUGGGAAUUGCCCAGUCGAGGGGGAUAACAGGUGGAAACGACUGCUAAUACCGCAUAAGAUGGGAGUGCCCAGGGGGGAUUAGCUCGUUGGUGGGGUAAUGGCUCACCAAGGCGACGAUCCCUAGCUGGUCUGAGCGGAUGAUCAGCCACACUGGAACUGAGAAAAGGUCCAGACUCCUACGGGAGGCAGCAGGGGGGAAUAGUGCACAAUGGGGGAAACCCUGAUGCAGCCAUGCCGCGUGUGGGAAGAAGGCCUUCGGGUUGUAAAGCACUUUCCGCGAGGAGGCGGUACUCGCAGAAGAAGCACCGGCUAACUCCGUGCCAGCAGCCGCGGGAAUUC
rnacentral:rRNA from 1 species